AUUGAACGCUGGCGGCAGGCCUAACACAUGCAAGUCGAACGGUAACAGGAAACAGCUUGCUGUUUCGCUGACGAGUGGCGGACGGGUGAGUAAUGUCUGGGAAACUGCCUGAUGGAGGGGGAUAACUACUGGAAACGGUAGCUAAUACCGCAUAACGUCGCAAGACCAAAGAGGGGGACCCUCGGGCCUCUUGCCAUCGGAUGUGCCCAGAUGGGAUUAGCUUGUUGGUGGGGUAACGGCUCACCAAGGCGACGAUCCCUAGCUGGUCUGAGAGGAUGACCAGCCACACUGGAACUGAGACACGGUCCAGACUCCUACGGGAGGCAGCAGUGGGGAAUAUUGCACAAUGGGCGCAAGCCUGAUGCAGCCAUGCCGCGUGUAUGAAGAAGGCCUUCGGGUUGUAAAGUACUUUCAGCGGGGAGGAAGGGAGUAAAGUUAAAACCUUUGCUCAUUGACGUUACCCGCAGGAGAAGCACCGGCUAACUCCGUG
rnacentral:rRNA from 1 species